rnacentral:rRNA from 1 species
GGGGAAGAGUAGCUUGCUACUUAACCUAGCGGCGGACGGGUGAGUAAUGCUUAGGAAUCUGCCUAUUAGUGGGGGACAACAACUCGAAAGGGAUGCUAAUACCGCAUACGUCCUACGGGAGAAAGCAGGGGACCUUCGGGCCUUGCGCUAAUAGAUGAGCCUAAGUCGGAUUAGCUAGUUGGUGGGGUAAAGGCCUACCAAGGCGACGAUCUGUAGCGGGUCUGAGAGGAUGAUCCGCCACACUGGGACUGAGACACGGCCCAGACUCCUACGGGAGGCAGCAGUGGGGAAUAUUGGACAAUGGGGGGAACCCUGAUCCAGCCAUGCCGCGUGUGUGAAGAAGGCCUUUUGGUUGUAAAGCACUUUAAGCGAGGAGGAGGCUACCGAGAUUAAUACUCUUGGAUAGUGGACGUUACUCGCAGAAUAAGCACCGGCUAACUCUGUGCCAGCAGCCGCGGUAAUACAGAGGGUGCAAGCGUUAAUCGGAUUUACUGGGCGUAAAGCGCGCGUAGGUGGCCAAUUAAGUCAAAUGUGAAAUCCCCGAGCUUAACUUGGGAAUUGCAUUCGAUACUGGUUGGCUAGAGUAUGGGAGAGGAUGGUAGAAUUCCAGGUGUAGCGGUGAAAUGCGUAGAGAUCUGGAGGAAUACCGAUGGCGAAGGCAGCCAUCUGGCCUAAUACUGACACUGAGGUGCGAAAGCAUGGGGAGCAAACAGGAUUAGAUACCCUGGUAGUCCAUGCCGUAAACGAUGUCUACUAGCCGUUGGGGCCUUUGAGGCUUUAGUGGCGCAGCUAACGCGAUAAGUAGACCGCCUGGGGAGUACGGUCGCAAG